CCUAAGUUGUGUCCCAGUGGAAGAAGUAGUAAGAGAUAGGCAACAUUAUCAAGUUGAGCACUCAACAGUCGCCCAGCAGGAGUGGGCUGGAGCCCCAGCUGAGAGUCCCAAGCAGAGCGCCCACUCGAUUCUGUCUUUGGCUGAGCUUCCGGCUCUUCUGCCCCAUCGCUUCUGGCUCUUCUGCCCCAUCGCAGAAAAAGUUCUCUCUGAUGCCCAUUUUCUUGGAUUGCUAUCCACAAACACAUGGAGAUUCUAAACAGCUUGAGCGCCAUGAGCCCUUUUAGGGAAUUUGAUUAAGGCCACGUGUAAGGUCGAACGCACAGGACAGUGAAGAAGGACUGACAUUCAGUUCCACAGACGUCCAGAAAAUAAGACUGUGCUGUUUUAAAUAAAAAUAGCACCGUUCCAUCGCUAAUUUUAACCCAGAGAACAAGCUCCUUCCUUUAAAUAGGGCCCGUUGGAUGGAUUCCCGAUGCAGCACCAUGGUGGCUGUCCUCCACGAAGUUCACACCGGAGUUCACACCCGAGAACUGCAGAGCUGAGGUGCACGUGCUCGCACAUACAUACAAUGUUACCAGCAUACCUACAGCCAUGAGGCGGGCCAUCUGCAGCUCAUGGGUGGCGAAACCUAGCCUCAUGGACAAGACCUUGGGAAGUACACUUAUUUAAAGAGGAGUGUGCCAGUCAUGCAUAACUUUGCUGAGAGCGGACAGCGUGGGCCAACCAGUGUCUAAGGAGGAAAACACUUAAAAGACUGGAACACAGAAGCAGCGAGUCAGCGAGAUGAAGACAGAAGCUUGUAACUCACCAGUCCACCCGUGGCCAUGUUUUAGUAACCUAAGAGUGCUUUCUGUUAAUUUCAACUAUUCUUGUUGUUUCUGUAAUAUAUCUCUUUCCUGGUUAAAAU
rnacentral:lncRNA from 1 species